rnacentral:rRNA from 1 species
CCUACGGGAGGCAGCAGUGGGGAAUUUUCCGCAAUGGGCGAAAGCCUGACGGAGCAAUACCGCGUGAGGGAGGAAGGCUCUUGGGUUGUAAACCUCUUUUCUCAGGGAAGAAAAAAAUGACGGUACCUGAGGAAUAAGCAUCGGCUAACUCUGUGCCAGCAGCCGCGGUAAUACAGAGGAUGCAAGCGUUAUCCGGAAUGAUUGGGCGUAAAGCGUCCGCAGGUGGUUUUGUAUGUCUGCUGUUAAAGAGUUAGGCUUAACCUAAUAAAGGCGGUGGAAACUACAAGACUAGAGUACGUUCGGGGCAGAGGGAAUUCCCAGUGUAGCGGUGAAAUGCGUAGAGAUUGGGAAGAACACCGGUGGCGAAAGCGCUCUGCUAGGCCUGUACUGACACUGAGGGACGAAAGCUAGGGGAGCGAAUGGGAUUAGAUACCCCAGUAGUCCUAGCCGUAAACGAUGGAUACUAGGCGUUGUCUGUAUCGACUCGGACAGUGCGUACGACUACGUACGUUAAGUAUCCGUCCGUCGGGUAGGUACGUCGAGGCGAACUAGUAGAACUACAACUAGAAUUAGUACGGCGUGAGACGUGCCGAACGGACGACGACGAGGGAGGUAGG